rnacentral:rRNA from 1 species
UACGUAGGGAGCAAGCGUUGUCCGGAUUUAUUGGGCGUAAAGAGCUCGUAGGCGGCUUAGAAAGUCAGGUGUGAAACCUCCAGGCUCAACCUGGAGACGCCACUUGAUACUUCUAUGGCUUGAGUUCGGUAGGGGAACACGGAAUUCCUGGUGUAGCGGUGAAAUGCGCAGAUAUCAGGAGGAACACCGAUGGCGAAGGCAGUGUUCUGGGCCGAAACUGACGCUGAGGAGCGAAAGCGUGGGGAGCGAACAGGAUUAGAUACCCCGGUAGUCC